rnacentral:lncRNA from 1 species
UGAACCUCUCAAUUAUGUUGUCAUGAUCUUUUUCUCUUGAUCAUUAGAUCACAUCUAGCUGAGAACCAAUCUCUAAUACCACUUGUUGCCCAGCUAGACAACUCAAGAGAAGAGGGGAGGUGAAUUGGAUUAUUAAAAUUUUUAACUAUAGAGUACAGUAAAUAAAUGCUAAACUAAAAAUAGAUGAAAUAAAUGAGGAUACAC